GAGUAUUAUGUAUUAUAGUUGUACUCAGGAUAUUCUAUAAGAUGGAUGGAGCUCUCUGAUUGUAGCUUUCUUUGGUCUUCUGUGCAGACUGACGGUUUUGGAGCCAACUAAAGUCCAAUUUUGGCAGCAGUUCUGCUACAGCUUCUCUAGGUGUUUUCUCCUUAGGUGGCAGUGCAACUAAAACCAGGGUGGGCAAACUUGCCUUUUCCUUCUCGUGACUUUUUGACUAUGUAGCACGAAAUAUAAAAAUGUUGUUGAUAGCAAUUUAUCUGGUUUCAUGCAGGUGAUUUUCAUUGCAAAAUGCAUAUAUCAGAUGCUAAAAUGUUGAUCUCUUUUCUUGUGACUGACGUGACGAACUAAUAUUUUUUUUGUGGUAUGUAUUUUAUGUUGUCCGAUGAUGUUUUUUUUUUUUUUUUUUUUGCUUUCUGCUCCGAUGCUGCUGUCAAAUAUGGACCUUUUGUUGUUUCCCAUUUCUGCUCAUCGUGUUUACAUUCAAUGCUUGAUUUGCAUGCUUAAUGACUCUUUGCUUAAGAAUGUAAAUUAUUACAGCUUUACCAAUUAAAGAAUGUAAAAGUAUGGUAUAUUUGCAUGUAGAAGCAAGCACUUUGGAGGAAGGCUCAUCCCUGUAAGAGGACGUUAUUAAAGGAUUCUAUUUUCUCAAAAUGCAUUUGCUUUCAGCUUGGUAAAAUGGCAACCAUACCCGUCUUUGGCUUGAUGUAUGAUGCGGGAGUUCUGCACUGAAAGAAGAAUUUCCAACCUAUUCUCGAUCAUGACUGAUAAAGAGGCCACUUUACAUGAGCGAUUAAGGAGAUAUGGAGGUCAAGUGUCACAAGAUAUUUCCUUUAGGACGCCCAUUCAAGAUUAGGACUGGAAUUAGACGGGCAAUUUGCCUUCAGAGAAGUUGCUGUUGCACAAUUCAGAGAGGACAUAGAGAUUUGGCAGGCUACAACAACAACAACAACAACCCAGUGAAAUCCCACAAUUGGGGUCUGGGAAAGGUAGUGUGUACGCACUGUUUCCGAUAGACCUUCGGCACAAGAAGAUGGAAUGAGACAGUGUAGCGGUAACAAGAAAGAUUUGGGCAGGCUGAACCUUGAAAUUGUAUUAUAAUCACUCAUUUAGGAGAGGUGAUUCAGGCCCAUAUGGUAGCGUAUGGAAGAGAGACAGCAAAAAAAGCAAGUUUUAAGCACUCUUGUCAGUUGGUGCCUUGGUGGUAUUUUGCAAAGGAUGAGGGGGAUUUUGAUCACUUCUUACUACAUUCCAUUUCACUGUAUGCUCCAUAGUUUACUCCAUGCUUAAAUUGUCAUGAGAAUGACCUAGGACAGUGUUGGAUAUCAGGGCAAGUUGAGAAUGAGAAGGCUAGAUGCUUGAAAGGAAGAUCUGGUAAGGAGGCUCGCUCAUUUUGUGCAUUUUUUCCGGUUGAUUUGGAGAGAGAUAUAAUAGAACUUUUGAGGAAGUUGAAAGCCUACUGUUGAAAGUUAGAGGGUCUUUUUUAUUUUGUUUAUACUUUUCGGCGCAAAAGGAUAUCUCACUUUGUAAAAAGAAAUCGAUUUUUUGGAAUUUUGAUGUAAACCCUAUACAUAUAUAUGUGAGGUAAAACCAACUUGAUGUGGUAUUUAUGAAAUGCUUUGUCUUUUCGUCUUCUUGAGCGAGGGUCUAUUGGAAACAACCUCUAGAGGUAAGGUUUGCGUACACACUAUCCUCCCCAGACCCCACUUGUGGGACUAUACUGGGUGGUUGUUGUUGUUGUUGAAAAGUGCAAGUAGAAUAUUCUGAGAUGCCUCGAAGUGCAUUUGUUUGUUUCAGAAAGGAUGGUCAGAGGAGAUUUAGUUCGAAUUUGAUGUAGUAGGAGAGAAAUAGUACUUGAAGUGCUUGUGCACUUAACCCAGAAAGAAUGGCAGAGAAAGUCAUCCUUCCAAAAACUGAUUGAAAGAAACCCUGAAGUGUAACAUUAAACAAAACAGACGAUCUUCUUGUCCCCGCAGAGAAGGAAAUUCCCAGGUGACUGUUUAGCUUACUGUUUGUUGCAAACAAGAUAAUAUUACCUACUUUGCCGC
rnacentral:lncRNA from 1 species